GCAUUGGUGGUUCAGUGGUAGAAUUCUCGCUUGCCACGCGGGACACCUGGAGUCGAAUCCUGACUGAUACA
rfam:Danio rerio chromosome 4, GRCz11 reference primary assembly.